UACAGAGGGGGCAAGCGUUGUUCGGAAUUACUGGGCGUAAAGGGCGCGUAGGCGGCCCGCUAAGUCGAACGUGAAAUCCCCGGGCUCAACCCGGGAACUGCGUCCGAUACUGGCAGGCUUGAAUCCGGGAGAGGGAUGCGGAAUUCCAGGUGUAGCGGUGAAAUGCGUAGAUAUGUGGAGGAAUACCGAUGGCGAAGGCAGCCCCCUGGGAUAACACUGACGCUCAUGCACGAAAGCGUGGGGAGCAAACAGG
rnacentral:rRNA from 1 species